rnacentral:snoRNA from 1 species
CCUUCAAAUGAUGUUACAAUUAUCACGACGGUCAACGUAGCCAUAUUGCUUUGACGAUAACGCCUGUGACAAGGCACCUUUACCCUGAAA